GCCCGAGCGAGGGGGGCGGAUCGCGCCCCGCGGGGUCGCGCCAGGCGGCCGCCCAUUGGCCCGGCCCCCCCGCUCCGCCCACGGCGUAUGCAAAGCGGGCGGCUCCGACUCCAGCUCUGCACGGUGCACCCGCCGUCCCCGCCGCGGCCCGCGCCGUCCCCAGCGCCAGCGCCAGCCGCGCGGCCGCGCACCAUUCACCCGGGGGAGAGGCGGGAGAACCUGCGGGUGGGGCAGGGAAGGAAGGGCGGCCGCAUCUCCGCCCCCCUUCCCUUCCUUUAUCCCAGUAGGGCCCAGACCCGCGCAACCAGGCGGGGAGGGGAGGUGGGCGCGCGAUUGGGUUGCGAUCUGGAGCGGUGGGGACAGGUCAGGUAAUUCUGCCGGCGGUCAGGGAUGGGAGAGUGGGGAGGACGGGACCAGCCUAGCUCAGAAUGGGUGUUUCUUGGAGCCUCUGGGACUGUUUUCUUUCCAGGAACCGGGGCGUAUUUCUGCAGUGAGACCCUAGGACGGACAUCGGCGCCUUCGGCUUCGAUGGAGUUGCGAUUUUGCUCUUUCCAGGGAAACAGUGGCAGGGUGUUUGCUGCUUGUCGGUUCCUGCGGAUAUGCCUGGCUCAUGGGUCCCAGGACAUUCCACUGGAGGCUUGGACUGCAUUUAGGAGCCCCUAUCCCUUCCCUGUCCACACUGUUAUUGAGCAAUUUCAUAUGUUUGCAUUUAGACCCAUAGACUCAGAACGACUCAUCACAAACACACACAGUGUACACUCACAUUCGCACACUUAGGUAUACAGCCUGAUCCUUGCUCUGACCCGGUAACAACGCUUCCUCCUCCAGAGACUUUGAGAUAGAGCGAGCGAUCCGUGUGCACCAUUCAUCCAUGCUCCCACCUCGCCAGUAUGGCUGGCUUGUUCUGGAAGGGGCUUAAGAGGAACAAGCCCCAGCUGUGCUUCUGGCUGGGACUUAAGCCCCCCUUCUGGGCCCUAACGCCACGCUUCUUUGUGGACCGGACCUGACUCUCCAGGAACCUGGGAACCCGCUAUUUCACUCUACUUUGGGACAGGAAAAAGGGUAUCUUUGGGGCCACUUCCUGCCUUCCCCUCAAGUAGGAUCUCCAGCCUGCAGAGGGUGCCUAGUCCUUCUUUGCCCAAGAACCAGCCCAAGAAGCCUUUCCUCUGUGCCUGGGAAAUGCAACUUUUUCUUGGGAGCAUGGUAAGGUGUUGGUGCUGAAGAACAAAGCAGCGACCCUUCUUGCAGCUGCCAUGUUUUGUCGAGGGGUUCUGGGGGUCCUGCUGCUUUAGGGCCACAUACUUCCACUUCCUGAUUCACUACUGUGAGCUGGUCAGAUGCCUAGAAGAGGAACAAGCGUUCAAAGUGAAAGUGGGCACAUUACCGGAAUAGUGCUGGGGAGAGUGCUGGAUUCUUUUCCACCCCAGGCGCACUGCCAGGGCUUUGAGCCUCUUAGGUUUUCCAGCCAGACCCGGAAAAACGAAAACACAGCUUGGGGAGCCCCCACUAGCCGGCGCCUGUGCCAGCUCACCUCUGGCCAUGGCGCAGCUGCCGGUGCACACGGCGGCCAAGGCCAGCUCCACAUUCUUCCCUCCCCUCCCACUUCACCGGAGCCCCGAACCCUGCGCGCAGAGAAAGGGUCUCAGCUCCACAGACGACUGGGUCCCUCCUCACCAAAAAUGGUGAGACAAGAUUUCAUCUGUCGGCCGAGGAGCCACAAGCAGGCAGCCAACAAACUGACUUGCUGUGGCUGAAGAAAGUUUGGAGGACAAUUAAGAUGAGUGUGCUCUGGGAAGCAAGCACAGACCCUCCUAGCAUUCUUCCUCUUUUCCCAACGGCAAGGUCAAGAUGUGCUUGCCUGCCAAGGUACCACAAAGCCACUAGCGCACAGGGAUUCAGAAAAGACGGCAGGAGCCCAAGGAAAACUCCAAUUUGAGUACAGCCCUGCCCUGUUUUCCCCAGAGAGUCCCUGAGCAAGGAGACCUCCACCCCACACACACCAUUUCAGAACAAUCAGGUUCCAGACUCCCAUGAGGAGCAUCUCCCACUCCACAGCCUUGGCCAGCCGCGCCCGGACUCCUCAGAGCUGGCCCAAACUCCGGCCUCCAAAACUCGGCUCUGGGAGGCCUAAAUGACUCCGAAGCCGGCGGCGGCCGUGGCAGCGGCCGUGGUGGUGGAAGAGCUCUUUUCCCCGACAGUGCCACUGAUCGCUCUUCACUGGCACUGGAAACAGCCUUCGCGGAAAGGACCGGAGCAUGCGUUAGAAGCAGAGGGAGCUUGGAGAAGGGUUCAGCUGGAAGGAGGAAACGCCUUCUCGCAGUGCGCGGCCAGCCCGCGGGGGACACCGGCUUGCUGGACUGCGGGGGCCUGUGCCACCCAGGGAGUGACCUGCGGGUCACUCAGCCGGGGCGCUGGGCGAGCGCGGGACGGCCCGGAGAAUUCCGUGCGGCUGCGACGGGAAAAGGACGAGGGAUCUCUGUACCCGACGCUGCCACUGGCCCAAAGGAAUUUUACCCGCGAGCGCCCACCCCCACCCUAGCUUGAUGCUUACGCCCGCAACAAAACAGGAAACCAGGACCGGGCAGUGCAUUCUUUAAGUCAACAAAUACACUGAAGACUUCGAGCGUGUGAAGGAAGUAGGGGGUUUGCACGUAAGCCUGGCCCCGCCGGGCUCGGCUUUCUCGCUGAGAAAGCGGCGCAGGCAGCCAGGCGGCCUGGGCCCGCGGGGGUCCAUCUCGCCCUAGACUCCUAAGAACUCCCACGGCCCUGUUCCCAGUUGCGAAUUCUUACUGCACAAAGCGACGGAGGGAAGGAAAUUCACCAGCGCAGCGAGGAGGAAGGUGAACUCAGGACCCCUUCAAGUACACACUGAGGUGUGAUCAGAGUUUUAUGGGCACGUUAUAUGCUGUAAUCAUAACGAUGUGUGUGCCUUGAUAUGCACGCAUAUUCACGCAUCAAACGUGCAUACACACACAGAGUGAAUGUGUGCAUCCAAUGUCAUGUGGGUGAAAUACAGGUAUCAUACCCAGCCCUACGAAAAAAAAUUCGCCCUGUCGGACCAGCCUGGUGACAUACUUCGCUGGUGCAUCUCCUUACUCACUCUUACUUUUCCGACCCCUCACCAUUCCCUCUCCUGUGGCUUGGUAAAUACACCUGUCCUCCGUGGAAGGUGAGUCCUGGACUGGCGUUGCCCGGUUCGCAUGUCCUCCCCAGAACCUCCGUCUGGCCCCAGGGACCCUCACUGAGCGGGUCUAGAGCACCCAGCACUGUUCAAGGAGCAGCCGCUGUUCCUUUGUCCCGCAGCUCCAGCCCCGUUCGGCCCAGCUCUCAGGGAAACGAAGCGCUCAGUAAGAACUUUUGAUAUUAGUUUGUAUGGGUAUUUACACUCUGGUGAGGGGAGCUGAGUACGGAAGCUCCAUUAAUCAUACCCCAACCUCGGGUUUAGAUAUUCAGUUUAUGGGUGGGGAGAGGGAGUUUGCCGGAAAGAAAGCAUCAAGGUUGGCCGCUGACUCCAGAGAAAUGAAAAGGGAGCAAGGUCGUUUUCUGUUUCUGGAAAUCAAGAAUUAGGAAUGGGCAAAUACAGGUGCUAACCAACAGACCACUUUUUUGUUUUUUGGUAGCCCUUUGGCAGGGAUAGUUUUUCCACCUUUGCCCGAUACAAUUUUUUUAAAAAAAUCCUUUUGUUAUGGAAUUUGUCAAACACACACACAAGCAUAACAAACCCCUAUGUAUCCAGCUCCUAGUUUUGACCCCUAUUAUAAUUUCAUCUUCAAUGUUUUAUUAUCCACUUCCUCUCUCUCUAUCUUUAGUAUUUUAAAGUAAAUCCCAGAUAGCAUCACAUCAUUUCACCCCCACCAUAGGAUUUCAAAGAUCUGUUAUAUUUCAAGAUUGAGUAAAAGGGCUUGAAAUUGAGUUAUUGCAAUGAAACUCUAGAAAAAACUUGAGGGUUCACCCAGGAGUAAGCUGGACAAAAAAGGGGUUUGAGGGGUGGACCCAUCUUGCCUAAAAAUCUUGUCUCAUCUUUCUAAAAAUUACAUAUGAAAGAGGAAGAUUUAUGUUACCUUUUUAUGUGAGAGAAUCGUCCUUUAAUAGAAAAUUUCUGUUGCUGCGUCAGAAUUAUGGGGGAACACAAAAAACCUACCUCUGUCCUUAGUGUGUCCUAAAUAAACAUAUAUUCACUUAUUAGUGGGUAAGUGACUAUAUUCUAUUUCAGCACCACUCCUCCCCUGGUAGAAACUCAAAAGAAAUUUCUAAUGAUUAAACUAGGAAAGUUUGCACUGAAUUGAUGGCUCAUCAGAGCAACAGCUGUUUUCAGGAAGAAAUUCAAUGCCAUGCAUUGAAAAUAUCCCCCUAGCAAUAGGGGUUGUUUUUUUUUUUUAAAGAAUGAAUAAAGGUGUUAUGGUUUCUUUUGUUUUAAUCUGGUAGUCUAAUUUACGAUAAGCAUGAUUCUCCCUGUCAAACUCUGAAAGUGACUUAACUGAAAGCCUUGGCAACUUCAGAAAGCAAAAAGGUAAAAACAGAAAAUAGCACACUGUUGAAUUUGACAACUUUUACACUACCCAG